rnacentral:rRNA from 1 species
GACGAACGCUGGCGGCGUGCCUAAUACAUGCAAGUAGAACGCACAGUUUAUACCGUAGCUUGCUACACCAUAGACUGUGAGUUGCGAACGGGUGAGUAACGCGUAGGUAACCUGCCUGGUAGCGGGGGAUAACUAUUGGAAACGAUAGCUAAUACCGCAUAAUAUUAAUUAUUGCAUGAUAAUUAAUUGAAAGGUGCAAUCGCACCACUACCAGAUGGACCUGCGUUGUAUUAGCUAGUAGGUGAGGUAACGGCUCACCUAGGCGACGAUACAUAGCCGACCUGAGAGGGUGCUCGGCCACACUGGGACUGAGACACGGCCCAGACUCCUACGGGAGGCAGCAGUAGGGAAUCUUCGGCAAUGGACGAAAGUCUGACCGAGCAACGCCGCGUGAGUGAAGAAGGUUUUCGGAUCGUAAAGCUCUGUUGUAAGAGAAGAACGGGUGUGAGAGUGGAAAGUUCACACUGUGACGGUAUCUUACCAGAAAGGGACGGCUAACUACGUG